GACGAACGCUGGCGGCGUGCCUAAUACAUGCAAGUCGAGCGAGACUCUUCGGAGUCUAGCGGCGGACGGGUGAGUAACACGUGGGCAACCUGCCUGUAAGACUGGGAUAACACCGGGAAACCGGUGCUAAUACCGGAUAAUCCUUUUCCUCUCAUGAGGGAAAGUUGAAAGUCGGUUUCGGCUGACACUUACAGAUGGGCCCGCGGCGCAUUAGCUAGUUGGUGAGGUAACGGCUCACCAAGGCGACGAUGCGUAGCCGACCUGAGAGGGUGAUCGGCCACACUGGGACUGAGACACGGCCCAGACUCCUACGGGAGGCAGCAGUAGGGAAUCUUCCACAAUGGACGAAAGUCUGAUGGGGCAACGCCGCGUGAGCGAUGAAGGCCUUCGGGUCGUAAAGCUCUGUUGUUAGGGAAGAACAAGUACCGGAGUAACUGCCGGUACCUUGACGGUACCUAACCAGAAAGCCACGGCUAACUACGUGCCAGCAGCCGCAGUAA
rnacentral:rRNA from 1 species